UUAACCCUUUCAGGGACAGCGGAUACUACAGUGGACAGCUUAUCAUCUUAUCAUGUUAUCAGGUUACAGAGUGCAUGAAAGGGUUAAUAACAACAAACGGGUAAAAGAGAGGGUUGCUUUGAAUCUACAUGAUGUCAGGCAUUAAUCGCUAUAUUGGUUGGGAAGCCAUUUGUCAUCUGAAUUUCAAUAUUAUUUUCCUACAAAAAUUAUACAGAGACAUUGUUCGUGUUGAAUACAGUGCAGUUGUUUUUCAUGUUUUAAGGAGAAGAAAAAAAAUAGCUAUCUCUGGCAUGAUUGAGUAUUACCUGUUUUCUCCUGCAUGUCUUCUGUCCAAAUUGUGGAUUUGGACAGGGGGCCCCAAAUCUGGUCUUCAAGAGGCUCUAUCCAAUCUGCUUAUGAUGUCUCCUCCUCCAACACGUCCGAUUUAAAUGAUCAGAAUCGUUAUUGGGCUUCUGCAAAGCAUGCUGAUGAGCUUUAAUCAGGUGUGUUGGAGGAGAGAGAAAUAUAAAACAGGCUGGAUAGGGGCACUCAAGAACUGGACUUGGGCACCCCUGUCUUAAAUGAUCAUAUGUGUGGUGACACACAUACUGUAUGAUCAUGGUUCAUUUUACUCCAUGAGAGUUAAUAUAUUGCUGUUAUUUCGUGGCAUGAAAGUUUCUGUUCAACUGCAGUCACCUCCCGAUGACAAGUGUGUUGCUGCAGGACAUCAGGCUGCAAAAAUUAAAUAAAUAUUACUAUUGUAAGUUAUUGGUGAUGUGGAAGGUUAAUGUGCCAGCUUGAUGUUAUCAAUAAAGAUUUGGGGUUUAAAUGUCGAUUGUGUUUUUUGUCUUGUUCAUUGUUUUUUUUGUCUUCUUCAGGCUUAGAAACGUGUUAGAACCUUGAUUUAUGUGAAUCUGUAUGAUUCAUCCUUAGUUGACGUACACAUGCUCAUCUCACGAAAUCCCAUGUUGUUGAAAUGCUUUAUUCUGGUAUGUUUUGCAGCUGCAGUUAAGUCAGGCCCCCCUCGAUAUUGUAUGAUUAGAGACAACGAAACCAUGUUCGUGAAAAAUCAAAAGAAAUAUUGUAUUUUAGAAUACAAUAAAUAAUAAUAAAAACAAACAAUGUU